GCCUAUUUAGCUUAGCUGGUAGUGCGUCUGCCUUGUAAGCGCUAGGCCGCGGGUUCGAUUCCCGCCCGGGGCG
rnacentral:tRNA from 1 species